CCUUUCCCCUUCCCGUCUGUUCCUGCGAGGUGAUCAGGCAGAAGCCGCCGAGCUCAUGCCAAACAAAGUGGGGGAGGAGAAGCUGCAUCUGGCUAUGAUGACCAUCCAUGUGUUGCGGGGAUGAGCAGAUUUCUUGACCGCAACUCCUAAUAUCUUGUAUAUUUUACUUUGUGGAUGGUCGUAGUAGGGAUCAUGCUUGCAUUUGUUCAAAUUUGAAUGGAGUAGUAUUGCAUGCCAUUCUAAUUAUAGUUUUUCAAUUGCUACACUAGUAUAAAAUUGACCUGUAAUUCAUUUUUUAUUUAUUAAUACUUUCCCCUCAAAUUUUCUACUGUCUAGAUAAUGAUUAGACCAUUCUCUGUUCCUUAGCCAUCAUUUUCAGGACAGUCUAUUGCAUAAUUUAUUAUGCACUAUAGUUGCUCCCUGAAUCUUAAGUGUUGUUUGUUGAACUGCUUUUGGUGAUCCUCACUGCCAUCACAAGGUAUCUGAUAUUUCGUUAUAAAAAAAUGUAUCUGAUACAAGUUGUUGAUGUUAGCAUUAACUUCAUUUAAUUACAAUAUUUAUAAGUUUCUUCACUUGCUUAACUUCCAUGUGGGCCAAGAGAUCAAGCUGCCAGUUUCUUUCCUUUUUUUAAGAGAAGCUGCCAGUUUCAAGUUCAGAUGUAUCAUCAUACAUGUUGUCUGGUAAUGGCUCCUGCAAAAUGAAUGCUAAGUUUCUCCCAUCUCCUUCAAUUCAAACUGUUAUAGUCCCAUUUUUUCUGAACCACAAGGUUUGCAGUUGACACCACUAAUAUUUUACAGCAAAUUAUUCAUGAGUAUUGCAUCAUGAUAGAUUGGAUUUUUACCAUUGCUCCAAUCUUUAUUUGUUGGAUCUAAUUAAGCACCCAAAUAAUUUAGUCUAUUUGCAUUCCACUGAGGUUAUCUGAUGGCAGUGGACUCAACAACCGUUUCAUGGUUACUUUUUGUGCUUUGGAGAAUAUUGUUGGAUCUACAAGUUUUUCAGUUCUUUAUUGCAAUUUAACCUGUGCGCAACUAUGGUUUCAAAGGUACAAUUCAUUUACACUUCAAUUGUAUUUUAUUUACACUGACGACAUUACUGUAAUUUCAUAUAUGUGCAUGUGUAAUUGGUGUUUUUGUGUGCAUACAAGGUAUAUUUGUUCACUAUAUUGGUGCUGGUAGUUCAUUUCUUAUUAAUAGAUAAUAAGUUUUGAAAUUUCAAGGUUUUCUAGCCUUUUCAUUAUGUAAAUUUUGUGAAAAAAAUUACUACCUGUUCAGUUUGAUGCACAUAUGCUCCUGUUUCAUUGCGUCUAUGUGACUCAGCUAUGAAUUGAUCCCUGCAACACUAGUGGUCUUCUUGGUUCCUGCAACUGCUGGUAUGGUGCUAUUUGCAUCAACUAAAAUAUACAGGAUUCAUGUACAAUUCAAUUGUACUCCAUUUACAUGGACAAAAUUACUGUGAUUUCUCCUAUCUAAGGCAUAAAAUUUGUAUAUGUAGGGAUUCAUUACGGAACCAUAACAUUUGUUAUUUUACUGACAAUAGAAAAAAAAAUCCAAGAAUCUGUUCAUAUUUUAGUCUUGCUGAUAUUCCUUUGCUUAUCUUUUUUGCAUAUGCACGGUUUCAUUAAGCAACCAUAAAAUUUGUUAUUUUACUGCAAUAGAAAAAAUCUGAGAAUUUAUUCAUAUUUUAGUCUUGCUGAUAUUCCUUUGCUUAUCUUUUUUUUGCAUAUGUAGGGUUUCAUUACGGAACCAUUAAAUUUGUUGUUUUACUGCAAUAGAAAAAAAAUCUGAGAAUCUGUUGUUUUCCCCCCAAAUCUUAAGUGUGUAAGCUUUUGAUUUGCAUGUGACUGAAACCAUAUUCUAAUAUUUUCUUUUGUGUGCAGGUUUGCUCUUAGAUCAUCUCCGCAACUUUGUAUAUGUGCUGCUUCCUACUAACGAACAAGCUUCCAUGCUGCAUAGACGUGUGUAAGAUACCGGUGAAGAUCAAGUUACCUUUGCUGCUGUUGUCAAAGUCAAGAUUCAGCCUUGUAAUUUAGACAACACUGCUCAACUUGUUGUUAGGAGGCUUUACAUCUGAAUGUUUGUUCAGGCCCUCAUUUGUUUUCUUUGCUGUUUACUCAAGCAAUGUAAAUAUGCUAUCUUUGUAUUAUGUCAGACUCAUAAGCUUUUUUUUUGGG